rnacentral:rRNA from 1 species
CGGAUUAGCUAGUUGGUAGGGUAAAGGCCUACCAAGGCGACGAUCCGUAACUGGUCUGAGAGGAUGAUCAGUCACACUGGAACUGAGACACGGUCCAGACUCCUACGGGAGGCAGCAGUGGGGAAUAUUGGACAAUGGGCGAAAGCCUGAUCCAGCCAUGCCGCGUGUGUGAAGAAGGCCCUCGGGUCGUAAAGCACUUUAAGUUGGGAGGAAGGGCUUACAGCGAAUACCUGUGAGUUUUGACGUUACCGACAGAAUAAGCACCGGCUAACUUCGUGCCAGCAGCCGCGGUAAUACGAAGGGUGCAAGCGUUAAUCGGAAUUACUGGGCGUAAAGCGCGCGUAGGUGGCUUGAUAAGUUGGAUGUGAAAUCCCCGGGCUCAACCUGGGAACUGCAUCCAAAACUGUCUGGCUAGAGUGCGGUAGAGGGUAGUGGAAUUUCCAGUGUAGCGGUGAAAUGCGUAGAUAUUGGAAGGAACACCAGUGGCGAAGGCGACUACCUGGACUGACACUGACACUGAGGUGCGAA